AAUGUGAUGACUGGUGUUCGCAUUAUAUGUGAUUAAUAUUCUGCGUAAUCAGGACUUGCAACACCCUGAUUGG
rnacentral:snoRNA from 1 species